rnacentral:rRNA from 1 species
GACAGAGGGUGCGAGCGUUGUUCGGAAUUACUGGGCGUAAAGCGCGCGCAGGCGGUUUUGUAAGUCAGAUGUGAAAGCCCCGGGCUUAACCUGGGAACUGCGUUUGAAACUACAAGGCUAGAGUGUGGCAGAGGGGGGUGGAAUUCCACGUGUAGCAGUGAAAUGCGUAGAGAUGUGGAGGAACACCGAUGGCGAAGGCAGGUCUCUGGGCUGACACUGACGCUCAUGCACGAAAGCGUGGGGAGCAAACAGG